CAUUGAGACAAAGGAUGGCAGACAGGUUUCAACUCUAAUUGUUAAGUGGCUGCCUCCAACAGAAUAUUGAGACUGGGGAACAAUGUGGGGCAGGUUUCAACUCUAAUUGUUACGUGGCUGCCUCCAACAGAAUAUUGAGACUGGGGAACAACGUGGGGCAGGUUUCAACUCUAAUUGUUACGUGGCUGCCUCCAACAGAAUAUUGAGACUGGGGAACAACGUGGGGCUUGAUGUCAAAGAGAACUCAGAAGGA
rnacentral:lncRNA from 1 species